CAAGUGCCACUCACCUACUUACAAGAUGGACAACUGACUUCAUCUCUCUAAGAUAGGAGGUGACAAUAUCUACCUCAUAAGGCUGUUCUGAGGAUUAAACAUAAGGUUCUGAGAAAUAUACUGAGCAUUACAGAUAACAUAUGGUGGCACCCCACCCUACAUUUUCAGUGAGAAAUGAUGGUUGCAACAUUCUCUUUUGAUUUAAGCUUUGUGGCUUAUUGCAUCAUAAAUAUUCUGAGUGACACCUGAAAAAAAGUAGAUAAUACUGGAAUAUCUGAUCCAGGGGGAAGAACUCAGAAGAGAAUCUUAAGAAGGAAAACUA